rnacentral:lncRNA from 1 species
UUUUGCCACCUCCACUGCUCCACGACUCAACUUUAUUUUCUUUAUCUACAUACUUAUAUUCACAACUUCUUGAUCUUUGUGCCACCCAUCCACCAAUACAACACUUAGCCACCUCUACAAUUGAUGACUCUUCCUUAUCUUCUUUAUCUUCACGCCAACACAACCUUCAACAAUCACUAUCCUUAACUUCAUGUCUUCAUCAAAUCACACUUACUUAAUGGCCUCUGACUUGGCUUCACCUAAGUAUAAAUUUAUAUAAGAUUAUG